UACGGAGGGUGCGAGCGUUGUCCGGAAUCACUGGGCGUAAAGGGCGCGUAGGCGGUCCUUCAAGUCUCUCGUGAAAUCCCUCGGCUUAACUGAGGACGUGCGGGAGAUACUGCUGGGCUUGAGUCCGGAAGAGGGUGGUGGAAUUCCCAGUGUAGCGGUGAAAUGCGUAGAUAUUGGGAGGAACGCCGGUGGCGAAGGCGGCCACCUGGGCCGGAACUGACGCUGAGGCGCGAAAGCGUGGGGAGCAAACGGG
rnacentral:rRNA from 1 species